UUUGAUCCUGGCUCAGGAUGAACGCUGGCGGCGUGCCUAAUACAUGCAAGUCGAACGCGCAGCGAGAGGUGCUUGCACCUUUCAAGCGAGUGGCGAACGGGUGAGUAACACGUGGAUAACCUGCCUCAAGGCUGGGGAUAACAUUUGGAAACAGAUGCUAAUACCGAAUAAAACUUAGUAUCGCAUGAUAUCAAGUUAAAAGGCGCUACGGCGUCACCUAGAGAUGGAUCCGCGGUGCAUUAGUUAGUUGGUGGGGUAAAGGCUUACCAAGACGAUGAUGCAUAGCCGAGUUGAGAGACUGAUCGGCCACAUUGGGACUGAGACACGGCCCAAACUCCUACGGGAGGCUGCAGUAGGGAAUCUUCCACAAUGGGCGCAAGCCUGAUGGAGCAACGCCGCGUGUGUGAUGAAGGCUUUCGGGUCGUAAAGCACUGUUGUAUGGGAAGAAAUGCUAAAAUAGGGAAUGAUUUUAGUUUGACGGUACCAUACCAGAAAGGGACGGCUAAAUACGUGCCAGCAGCCGCGGUAAUA
rnacentral:rRNA from 1 species